GCUGCCUUCAGUCUGUCUUUGCCAGAAGACGUUCGUGUCUUCAAGUGAAGGACUGUUCUUACCUCCUGGUGUUUUGGUGCCUGCCUUCCUGAGUCCUUCGUACCUGAUUACCAGUUGUUACAGAUAAUUAGUCGGUAAUAUUUAUGCUGACUCAUUAUCUUGAGUAAAUAGACUGUAAAGAAAUAUGAAAUGAUUGCCACAGUAAUGAAAAAUGUACAAGCACGCUCGGGUGAUGGAUUUAAAACACUAACAAGACUUCGUGGCAGAAAGAAAUACUGUGAAAGCAUCCGGAGACCUUUCUGCCCUCUCUCUGUCUCUAAAGAACACGAAGCUCUCCUGGCUGAAUCAUCAGAACAAAAUACGAACAACUGUGUGUGGAAAAUAUCUGUCAAAGCUACAAGAAGCCUGUGGACAUAAAACUGAAGGAGAGAAGUCAACUUCCCAGGUGCGUCCAAUCACAGAGCUGCACACUCUGCUGCGUGGGACGCUAAUGGUGGGUGGACGCUACAGAAGAGAAAAGUGAUGUUACAGUCUGCAGCUUACAGAGGAAGUCCACACGAAACGAUUCCAUUUUAUUCUAUUUCUAUUUCUAUUUCCCACUAUCACCCAAGUUUCUUUGCACUAUAACUUGCACAUUUCACUACUAUUGCACAUUGUUUGUGUGUCUGAGUGUGUGUGUGUAUAUGUAUGUAUUUACAUAACUGUAUAUCUUGUAAAUAUAAUUCAGUUAUCCUUUUUCUUCAUUUAGUGCUACUUUAAUACUGUUCUAUUUUAUUGCCCAUUUUAUUUUUUUAAUUCUAAUUAAAAAUAUUUGAAUAUUUGUUUAUA